AACGCUGGCGGCGUGCCUAAUACAUGCAAGUCGAACGGAGCUAUUUAUUUCGGUAGAUAGCUUAGUGGCAAACGGGUGAGUAACGCGUAGGCAACCUGCCCUCAGGAUGGGGACAACGGCUCGAAAGAGCCGCUAAUACCGAAUGACGUAACUCUUCCACAUGGAAGAGAUACUAAAGAUGGGUCAAACCAUCGCCUAAGGAUGGGCCUGCGUCUGAUUAGCCAGUUGGUGAGGUAACGGCUCACCAAAGCGACGAUCAGUAGCCGGUCUGAGAGGAUGAACGGCCACAAUGGGACUGAGACACGGCCCAUACUCCUACGGGAGGCAGCAGUGGGGAAUCUUCCGUAAUGGGCGAAAGCCUGACGGAGCAACGCCGCGUGAGUGAAGAAGGUCUUCGGAUCGUAAAGCUCUGUUGUCGGGGACGAAAGAGUAGACGAGGAAAUGCGUCUACUAAGACG
rnacentral:rRNA from 1 species